rnacentral:tRNA from 1 species
GCAUGGUGGUUCAGUGGUAGAAUUCUCGCCUGCCACGCGGGAGGCCCGGGUUCGAUUCCCGGCACAUGCA